UGACGGAGCGGAGCGCUUGUGCUAGGGCUUGAGAGGGUGACGACGGAGCUUCCGAUUCUGGCCGGUAGCGCCGCGGUGGCGGGGGAGGGCCAGGAAGACUGAGAAAGGGGUCUAUUUGUAAACUAAGGGACUAAUUUGCAAAUAAUUGGAUCGCGAUCAUUAAUCGCGAUCCAAACAGGGGGUAUUUACAACUAUGAGGGGCUUCUCUGCGAAACGGUCGGCGCCGGUGGCGAUGCAAUUCGGCGACGCUGCGCUGCUGCCCGCCAACCACAGCUGGCCUCGCCGCCGCGCGCGUCCCGUGUCCCCCUCCGUCUAGUUCGCGCCCUCCCACCCCCAUCCCCUUCCUCCGGCCCACAGCGCGUCCCUGCGGUGGGGCGGCGGUCCUGCCUCCGGCAGUGAAGCACUAGCGGCAGCCAUCGCCGUCGAGAAUGAACUCCAGGUACUCCUAGAGAUACCCAAUCGCCGUUGCAUUCCUCUUCCGCCUUCCCCCAGCUCUGCCCCGUCUGGCAGUGCUGCACUUCGAAUGCUUUCCCUGCUGAUAGACCCGUUCCUAGUAUAUGUGGAAAGAUAAAAACAAGUGUCAGCGGCUAAGAUGAUUGAAUGUCUGUGGUUUUAAGUCAGCUUCUUUGAUGGCAAUGCCAGUUGCCAGUGCUUGGAUCAGGCAAAGACACAACUGCAGGUUAAUUCCAGUUAAAAUGAUCAUAGGAGAUGUGUGUGGCGCUGACAUGAAUAAGCUGAUGAUUGUUUUGGUUUUCCUCUGCCAGGUUUUGUCUGUUUAACUGAAUGUAUGGAACUGAACAAAGUAGCCAUUUUUCAGUGUUCACAUGCCACAAUCCCUGAAGACUACUUUGUAGCUAUGUCGAUGCAUAAAGUCAGUUUUCACUUUUCACAUGCUCUUUGUACAUGACUAUUUCUCUCUUGUUUCCUUCCUUGAUGCAUGUCCAUCCUGAGACAUUGAUCUUGGAGGUAAUUCAGGAACGUAUGGAGCAUAAAUCGAUUCUUGGACAUUCCUCGGAUUUGAGGCAGAUAGCUGAACACCAGCAUCGCUCCCUCAAGAGUGUGAAGAUCACAGGGUUCAGCUCUGCGAAGAAAGGUCCAUGCUGGUUGAAGGUCCAUGCGCCUCCACAUUGCAACUGCUUUGGGGAUGCAGGAUUCAUGCUAGCAAUGCCAGUUGCCAGUGCUUGGAUCAGGCUAUGACGCAACUGCAGUGCUCAUCACAUGCCACGUUCCUGAAGACUCUACUCUGUAGCUAUGUCGACGUACUGUUGAUUGCUUCUGAGCAUUCAAGAUCCAUUCAACUUUGCUUUGAGUUUGGGAUGUUCCAUGGAGUACUGCAGCAGAGCCAUGGUGGUAUGGAAGUUCUCCGCUCCAAUUGCGAUGUUCCAUCUAGCACUGUGGCGCCGCCUCGACCUCCCGUCCGUCCAUCUCGCGCAGCACGUGGUCAGCCUGGCCAUGAGGAGGCACCCGACGCCCACGUCCAGGCUACCCGGGUGCGCGGCGCGGGCGGAGGCCAUCCAGGAUGCGUCCUCCUCCAGGAAGACGGUGCCGGCCGCCGUGGUUGAGCGUCGCCCAUAGCGCGGUGUCGCGGCCCAGGCCAAAAACGAGGAGGUCACAGGGCGCGCGGCGGGACAACGCGCGCCGCCAGGCCCCGUUCCUUCCCCGUCACCUGCGGGCUGCGGCGUGACGGGCGACGCCGCGUAGUGAAGCAGCGCCGCCGCCAUGGGCGCCGGCAGCAUGAAGCCGUCGUGGCAGGGCUCGUGGUGCUGCUGCUCGUGAUGGCGACGCCCCGCUGUAGCAUGGGAGGAGGUCAGGAGGAGAUGGAGACCAUGGGCACGCGGCGGACGGCGAAGAGGAGCGGGAACGCCGCACUAGCGGCAGCGCCGGCGCCUGUUCCUCUUCUUCUCAGGACAACCCCUUCCUCUGUCAACUCCAUGAUCAGGCCAACGCCAUCGACGCCUGUUCGUGAUUUGGAUUCCUGUGCGCUUCAUGAGUUCGAUUCUUUGCCUUAACAAGAGGCAACUUGUAUACAUCAAAAAAGAGAAACGGAGCUGUUGCUGAUCGUUUUCUGUUCUGAAUUUCAGGAAAAACAUCCAGCUUUUGUAGUUGUAAUAAGCGGUUCAACCAAUCAAAUCCUAACAGGAGAAAAACGUCACGAAGCAUCAGCGCAUUCAGCAUCAUAAAUCAUACUAACAACAGAGUUUCAGAGGAUAGCAUUGGCCUGUAAUUUGAUUUGUAUUCCUCUUGUCAUAUGCCAAAAACAGGUGUAUGAAUCAAUUUUCAGGGAGUGUACUCUUGUGAUAUACAAUUGACGACUAUGGAUAACCAACAAAUCUUCAGAAAAUAUUUCAGACAGCCUAUGCUAAGCUCGGGGCGGUAAAUCUCUACAUGAACAGGUUUUCUUUUUGCAGCUGCCUCCUGGGUAUA